GACGAACGCUGGCGGCGUGCCUAAUACAUGCAAGUAGAACGCACAGUUUAUACCGUAGCUUGCUACACCAUAGACUGUGAGUUGCGAACGGGUGAGUAACGCGUAGGUAACCUGCCUGGUAGCGGGGGAUAACUAUUGGAAACGAUAGCUAAUACCGCAUAAUAUUAAUUAUUGCAUGAUAAUUAAUUGAAAGGUGCAAUUGCACCACUACCAGAUGGACCUGCGUUGUAUUAGCUAGUAGGUGAGGUAACGGCUCACCUAGGCGACGAUACAUAGCCGACCUGAGAGGGUGAUCGGCCACACUGGGACUGAGACACGGCCCAGACUCCUACGGGAGGCAGCAGUAAGGAAUCGUCGGCAAUGGACGAAAGUCUGACCGAGCAACGCCGCGGGAGUGAAGAAGGUUUUCGGAUCGUAAAGCUCUGUUGUAAGAGAAGAACGGGUGUGAGAGUGGAAAGUUCACACUGUGACGGUAUCUUACCAGAAAGGGACGGCUAACUACGUG
rnacentral:rRNA from 1 species